rnacentral:rRNA from 1 species
UAUAAAGUCUGACCUGCCCAAUGAUAAUUGAAUGGCCGCGGUAUUCUGACCGUGCAAAGGUAGCAUAAUAAUUAGUUUUUUAAUUGAAAGCUGGAAUGAAUGGUUGGACGAGAAGACUUCUGUCUUAGUGUAAUUUUUUGAAUUUUAUUUUUGAGUGAAAAAGCUUAAAUUUGUUUAAAAGACGAGAAGACCCUAUAGAGUUUUAUAUUUUUGUUUAUGAUUAUUUUGUAGAAGUUAAUUGGUUAUUUUAAAUAAAAUUAUUUUGUUGGGGUGACAGAAAAAUUUAGUUAACUUUUUUAUUAUAGUUACAUUGAUUUAUGUUUAAUUGAUCCUUUAUUUAAGAUUAUUAGAUUAAAUUACCUUAGGGAUAACAGCGUAAUUUUUUUUUAGAGUUCUAAUCGAAAGAAAAGUUUGCGACCUCGAUGUUGGAUUAAAAUUAAUGUUUGGUGAAGCUGCUGAAUAAUUAGGUCUGUUCGACCUUUAAAAUUUUACA